AGUGAACGCUGGCGGUAGGCCUAACACAUGCAAGUCGAACGGCAGCACAGUAAGAGCUUGCUCUUACGGGUGGCGAGUGGCGGACGGGUGAGGAAUACAUCGGAAUCUACUUUUUCGUGGGGGAUAACGUAGGGAAACUUACGCUAAUACCGCAUACGACCUACGGGUGAAAGCAGUGGAGCUUCGGACCUUGCGCGAUUGAAUGAGCCGAUGUCGGAUUAGCUAGUUGGCGGGGUAAAGGCCCACCAAGGCGACGAUCCGUAGCUGGUCUGAGAGGAUGAUCAGCCACACUGGAACUGAGACACGGUCCAGACUCCUACGGGAGGCAGCAGUGGGGAAUAUUGGACAAUGGGCGCAAGCCUGAUCCAGCCAUACCGCGUGGGUGAAGAAGGCCUUCGGGUUGUAAAGCCCUUUUGUUGGGAAAGAAAAGCAGCAGGUUAAUACCCCGCUGUUCUGACGGUACCCAAAGAAUAAGCACCGGCUAACUUCGUG
rnacentral:rRNA from 1 species